ACCCAGCUAGCUCAGUAAGUAGGGCAUGAGACUUCUAAUCUCAGGGUUGUGGGUUCGAGCCCCAUGUUGGGUG
rnacentral:tRNA from 1 species